GUUGUAUAGUCAAGUAAUUAAGUGCAUGUGGUGGAUGCCUUGGCAGUCAGAGGCGAUGAAAGACGUGAUAGCCUGCGAAAAGCUCCGGGGAGGCGGCAAAUAUCCUUUGAUCCGGAGAUGUCUGAAUGGGGGAACCCACCUACUUUAAGGUAGGUAUUGCAACAUGAAUACAUAGUGUUGCAAGGCGAACGAGGGGAAGUGAAACAUCUCAGUACCCUUAGGAAAAGAAAUCAAUUGAGAUUCCCUCAGUAGCGGCGAGCGAACGGGGAUCAGCCCAUUAAGUUAUGUGUGUUUUAGUGGAACGCUCUGGGAAGUGCGAACGUAGAGGGUGAUAUUCCCGUACACGAAAGGGCACACAUAAUGAUGACGAGUAGGGCGAGGCACGUGAAACCUUGUCUGAAUAUGGGGGGACCAUCCUCCAAGGCUAAAUACUCCUGACUGACCGAUAGUGAACCAGUACCGUGAGGGAAAGGCGAAAAGAACCCCUGUGAGGGGAGUGAAAUAGAUCCUGAAACCGCAUGCAUACAAGCAGUGGGAGCACCUUCGUGGUGUGACUGCGUACCUUUUGUAUAAUGGGUCAGCGACUUAUAUUCAGUAGCGAGGUUAACCGUAUAGGGGAGCCGUAGAGAAAUCGAGUCUUAAUAGGGCGUUUAGUUGCUGGGUAUAGACCCGAAACCAGGCGAUCUAUCCAUGAGCAGGUUGAAGGUUGGGUAACACUAACUGGAGGACCGAACCCACUGUCGUUGAAAAGCCAGGGGAUGACUUGUGGAUAGGGGUGAAAGGCUAAUCAAGCCUGGUGAUAGCUGGUUCUCCCCGAAAGCUAUUUAGGUAGCGCCUCGGACGAAUACCAUAGGGGGUAGAGCACUGUUUCGGCUAGGGGGUCAUCCCGACUUACCAAACCGAUGCAAACUCCGAAUACCUAUGAGUACUAUCCGGGAGACAGACUGCGGGUGCUAACGUCCGUAGUCAAGAGGAAAACAAUCCAGACCGCCAGCUAAGGCCCCAAAAUCAUAGUUAAGUGGGAAACGAUGUGGGAAGGCAUAGACAGCUAGGAGGUUGGCUUAGAAGCAGCCACCCUUUAAAGAAAGCGUAAUAGCUCACUAGUCGAGUCGGCCUGCGCGGAAGAUGUAACGGGGCUAAAACUAUGUGCCGAAGCUGCGGAUGUAUACUUUGUAUACGUGGUAGGGGAGCGUUCUGUAAGCCGAUGAAGGUGUGUUGAGAAGCAUGCUGGAGGUAUCAGAAGUGCGAAUGCUGACGUGAGUAACGACAAAACGGGUGAAAAACCCGUUCGCCGAAAGACCAAGGGUUCCAGUCCAACGUUAAUCGGGGCUGGGUGAGUCGACCCCUAAGGCGAGGCCGAAAGGCGUAGUCGAUGGGAAAAUGGUUAAUAUUCCAUUACUUCUGUGUAAUGCGAUGAGAGGACGGAGAAGGCUAAAUCAGCCUGGCGUUGGUUGUCCAGGUGAAAGGAUGUAGGCAUGUAUCUUAGGCAAAUCCGGGGUACUCUAUGCUGAGAUCUGAUAGCAAGCUGUACUUGUACAGCGAAGUGGUUGAUGCCAUGCUUCCAGGAAAAGUCUCUAAGCUUCAGUUACACAGGAAUCGUACCCGAAACCGACACAGGUGGUCAGGUCGAGUAGACCAAGGCGCUUGAGAGAACUCUGCUGAAGGAACUAGGCAAAAUGGUACCGUAACUUCGGGAGAAGGUACGCUGUUGUUGGUGAUGGAACUCGCUUCCUGAGCUGACGACAGCCGCAGAAACCAGGCCGCUGCAACUGUUUAUUAAAAACAUAGCACUCUGCAAACACGAAAGUGGACGUAUAGGGUGUGAUGCCUGCCCGGUGCUGGAAGGUUAAUUGAUGGGGUUAGCGUAAGCGAAGCUCUUGAUCGAAGCCCCAGUAAACGGCGGCCGUAACUAUAACGGUCCUAAGGUAGCGAAAUUCCUUGUCGGGUAAGUUCCGACCUGCACGAAUGGCAUAAUGAUGGCGGCGCUGUCUCCAGCAGAGGCUCAGUGAAAUCGAAAUCGCUGUGAAGAUGCAGUGUACCCGCGGCUAGACGGGAAGACCCCGUGAACCUUUACUGCAGCUUGACACUGAACUUUGACCUUACUUGUGUAGGAUAGGUGGGAGGCUUUGAAGCUGGAACGCUAGUUCCAGUGGAGCCGUCCUUGAAAUACCACCCUGGUAAUGUUGAGGUUCUAACUCUGUCCCGUGAUCCGGGACGAGGACCGUGUCUGGUGGGUAGUUUGACUGGGGCGGUCUCCUCCUAAAGAGUAACGGAGGAGUACGAAGGUGCGCUCAGCGUGGUCGGAAAUCACGCGUAGAGUAUAAAGGCAAAAGCGCGCUUAACUGCGAGACCCACAAGUCGAGCAGGUACGAAAGUAGGUCUUAGUGAUCCGGUGGUUCUGUAUGGAAGGGCCAUCGCUCAACGGAUAAAAGGUACUCUGGGGAUAACAGGCUGAUACCGCCCAAGAGUUCAUAUCGACGGCGGUGUUUGGCACCUCGAUGUCGGCUCAUCUCAUCCUGGGGCUGAAGCAGGUCCCAAGGGUAUGGCUGUUCGCCAUUUAAAGAGGUACGCGAGCUGGGUUUAGAACGUCGUGAGACAGUUCGGUCCCUAUCUACCGUGGGCGCUGGAAAUUUGAGAGGAUCUGCUCCUAGUACGAGAGGACCAGAGUGGACGAACCUCUGGUGUACCGGUUGUGACGCCAGUCGCAUCGCCGGGUAGCUAUGUUCGGAAGGGAUAACCGCUGAAAGCAUCUAAGCGGGAAGCCUACCUCAAGAUAAGAUUUCCCUAGGACUUUAUGUCCUCUAAAGAGCCGUUCGAGACUAGGACGUUGAUAGGUUGGAUGUGGAAGCAUAGUGAUAUGUGAAGCUGACCAAUACUAAUUGCUCGUGAGGCUUGACUAUACAACACCCAAGCAGUUG
rnacentral:rRNA from 1 species